CACGAACGCCGGCGGCAGGCUUAACACAUGCAAGUCGAGCGCCCCGCAAGGGGGGCGGCAGACGGGUGAGUAACGCGUGGGAAUCUACCCAUCUCUACGGAAUAACGCAUGGAAACGUGUGCUAAUACUGUAUACGUCCUUCGGGAGAAAGAUUUAUCGGAGAUGGAUGAGCCCGCGUUGGAUUGGCUAGUUGGUGGGGUAAAGGCCUACCAAGGCGACGAUCCAUAGCUGGUCUGAGAGGAUGAUCAGCCACACUGGGACUGAGACACGGCCCAGACUCCUACGGGAGGCAGCAGUGGGGAAUAUUGGACAAUGGGCGCAAGCCUGAUCCAGCCAUGCCGCGUGAGUGAUGAAGGCCCUAGGGUUGUAAAGCUCUUUCACCGGUGAAGAUAAUGACGGUAACCGGAGAAGAAGCCCCGGCUAACUUCGUGCCAGCCGCCGCAGUAAAAC
rnacentral:rRNA from 1 species